AGCUCCAAUAGCGUAUAUUAAAGUUGUUGCGGUUAAAAGCUCGUAGUUGGAUUUCUGUCGAGGUCAACCGGUGCACAUUCUAUGUCGCAUUUGGUUUGGUCUUGGCAUCCUCGUGGGGAACGUUUCUGGACUUUAUUGGACAGGGCGAGAUUCACGACUUUUACUUUGAGGAAAUUAGAGUGUUCACGGCAGGCAAGUGCUUUGAAUACAUUAGCAUGGAAUAAUAAUAUAGGACCUUUGUUCUAUUUUGUUGGUUUCUAGAACUUAGGUAAUGAUUAAUAGGGACAAUUGGGGGCAUUCGUAUUAACGCGUCAGAGGUGGAAUUCUUGGAUUGCGUUACGACGAACUACUGCGAAAGCAUUUGCCAAAGAUGUUUUCA
rnacentral:rRNA from 1 species